rnacentral:rRNA from 1 species
CACAAGCAGCGGAGCGUGUGGUUUAAUUUGUUUGCUACACGAAGAACCUUACCUGGGUUUGACAUAUAGGUUGUAGGGAACUGAAAAGGGACCGACCCUUCGGGAGCCUAUACAGGUGUUGCAUGGCUGUCGUCAACUCGUGUCGUGAGAUGUUCGGUUAAGUCCGCUAACGAGCGCAACCCUCGUCGUAUGUUAUAUGUGUCAUACGAGACUGCCGGUAAAAGCCGGAGGAAGGUGAGGAUGAUGUCAAGUCAGCAUGACCUUUAUAUCCAGGGCUACACACACGCUACAAUGGUCUGUACAAUGGGUAGCCAAGCCGCGAGGCGGAGCCAAUCCUGAAAGCAGGCCUCAGUUCAGAUUGCAGUCUGCAACUCGACUGCAUGAAGCCGGAGUUGCUAGUAACCGCGCGUCAGCUAUAGUGCGGUGAAUACGUUCCCGGGCCUU